UACGUAGGGACCGAGCGUUGUCCGGAAUCAUUGGGCGUAAAGAACGUCGUAGAGCGGCCUUUUAAGUCCUGCGUGAAAUCCUGCGGCUCAACCGCAGACGGUCGUGGGAAACUGGAAGGCUAGAGUGCGGGAGAGGAGAGUGGAAUUCUCGGUGUAGAGGUGAAAUUCGUAGAUAUCGAGAGGAACACCGGUGGCGAAGGCGGCGAUCUGGACGAUGACUGACGCUGAGACGCGAAAGCGUGGGGAGCAAACAGG
rnacentral:rRNA from 1 species